rnacentral:rRNA from 1 species
CCUACGGGAGGCAGCAGUGAGGAAUAUUGGUCAAUGGACGCAAGUCUGAACCAGCCAUGCCGCGUGCAGGAAGACGGCUCUAUGAGUUGUAAACUGCUUCUGUACGAGGGUAAACGCAGAUACGCGUAUCUGUCUGAAAGUAUCGUACGAAUAAGGAUCGGCUAACUCCGUGCCAGCAGCCGCGGUAAUACGGAGGAUUCAAGCGUUAUCCGGAUUUAUUGGGUUUAAAGGGUGCGUAGGCGGUCGGAUAAGUUAGAGGUGAAAUCCCGAGGCUCAACUUCGGAAUUGCCUCUGAUACUGUUCGGCUAGAGAGUAGUUGCGGUAGGCAGAAUGUAUGGUGUAGCGGUGAAAUGCUUAGAGAUCAUACAGAACACCGAUUGCGAAGGCAGCCUACCAGGCUACUUCUGACGUUGAGGCACGAAAGCGUGGGGAGCAAACAGGAGUAGAUACCCGUGUAGUC